GAGCAGAAGCAAUUUACAAUAAUUCCAGGGAUGUGAUAUCCCAUUAUGAAAAUCGACUGGGGGAGUUGGGACAGUUUUCCUCGACUUUGCUAGCAUUUGUUUCUCCCCACAUAAUUUGCCGUUUCUUCAAAAUAAAAAAAAAUACAUAAUUUAACUACUUAACUUGCAUUCCUUCGAUGGUUAAAAAUAUCCAAACAAAAAUGAACAUUUCUCUUACUACUUGUUCUUCCUUUAUAGGUACCGCAGCCUCAAACACUUGAAUUAUGACAUGUGCCGAAGCUGUUUCUUUUCGGGGCGCACGUCAAAGGGGCACAAGUUACAUUACCCAAUGGUGGAGAACUGCACUCCAACAACAUCAGGUGAAGAUGUGCGUGAUUUCAGCAAGGUGCUGAAAAAUAAGUAAGAAAUAUUUUGCCAAACAUCCUCGCUUGGGUUAUUUACCAGUACAAACAGCUCUAGAAGGCGAGAACCUUGAGACUGGAUCUGUUGGAGUUGCACACAGCGCAACGCGUCUUUGAUCAACACAAAUUGACACAAACCGAGCAACUUCUGAAUGUGACUGAAGUAAUCAACUGUUUAACGUCCAUUUAUGAUGUUUUGGAACAAAACCACAAGGACUUGGUCAAUGUGCCACUCUGUGUCGACAUGUGUCUGAACUGGCUGCUGAACGUA